GACGAACGCUGGCGGCGUGCUUAACACAUGCAAGUCGAACGAGUGGCGAACGGGUGAGUAAUACGUGAGUAACCUGCCCUCUUUUUGGGAUACGCCUUGGAAACGGGGACUAAUACAGGAUUAAGGGGGAUGGGCUCGCGGCCUAUCAGCUUGUUGGUGGGGUGAUGGCCUACCAGGGCGGUGACGGGUAGCCGGCCUGAGAGGGUGACCGGCCACACUGGGACUGAGACACGGCCCAGACUCCUACGGUAGGCAGCAGUGGGGAAUAUUGCACAAUGGGCGCAAGCCUGAUGCAGCCAUGCCGCGUGUAUGAAGAAGGCCUUAGGGUUGUAAAGUACUUUCAGCGGGGAGGCGUUACCCGCAGAAGAAGCACCGGCUAACUCCGUGCCAGCAGCCGCGGUAAUUC
rnacentral:rRNA from 1 species